GGUCUCGUGGCGCAAUGGUAGCGCAUUAGUUUCCGGUACUAGAGGUUGUGCGUUCGAGUCGCACCGGGAUCG
rfam:Aspergillus kawachii IFO 4308 DNA, contig: scaffold00006.